rnacentral:rRNA from 1 species
GACGAACGCUCGCGGCGUGCUUAACACAUGCAAGUCGAACGGGCCUUGUCCCCUUUUUUUUUGGGGGUGGGGUUAGUGGCGAACGGGUGAGUAACACGUGAGUAACCUGCCCCUCACUUCUGGAUAACCGCUUGAAAGGGUGGCUAAUACGGGGUGUUCUGGCCUGCUCGCAUGGGUGGGUUUGGAAAGAUUCGACCGGUUUUGGUUGUUUUGGUGGGGGAUGGGCUCGCGGCCUAUCAGCUUGUUGGUGGGGUGAUGGCCUGGCAAGGCUUUGACGGGUAGCCGGCCUGAGAGGGUGGGCGGUCACACUGGGACUGAGACACGGCCCAGACUCCUACGGGAGGCAGCAGUGGGGAAUAUUGCACAAUGGGCGCAAGCCUGAUGCAGCGACGCCGCGUGAGGGAUGGAGGCCUUCGGGUUGUGAACCUCUUUCGCCAGUGAAGAAGGUCCUGCUCUUUGUGGUGGGGUUGACGGUAGCUGGGUUAAUGAAGCGCCGGCUAACUACGUG